rnacentral:rRNA from 1 species
CAGCAGCCGCGGUAAUACGAAAGGUGCGAGCGUUAAUCGGAAUUACUGGGCGUAAAGCGCGCGUAGGCGGUUUGCUAAGUCAGAUGUGAAAGCCCCGGGCUCAACCUGGGAACUGCAUUUGAAACUGGCAGGCUAGAAUGCAGUAGAGGGAGGUGGAAUUUCCGGUGUAGCGGUGAAAUGCGUAGAGAUCGGAAGGAACACCAGUGGCGAAGGCGGCCUCCUGGACUGACAUUGACGCUGAGGUGCGAAAGCGUGGGGAGCACACAGGAUUAGAUACCCUGGUAGUCCACGCCGUAAACGAUGUCUACUAGUCGUUGGGGAUCUUAGUAUUCUUGGUGACGAAGUUAACGCGAUAAGUAGACCGCCUGGGGAGUACGGCCGCAAGGUUAAAACUNAAAAGAAUUGACGG